CAAUAGCGUAUAUUAAAGUUGUUGCGGUUAAAAAGCUCGUAGUUGGAUUUCUGCCGAGGACGACCGGUCCGCCCUCUGGGUGUGUAUCUGGUUUGGCCUGGGCAUCUUCUUGGAGAACGUAGCUGCACUUGACUGUGUGGUGCGGUGUCCAGGACUUUUACUUUGAGGAAAUUAGAGUGUUUCAAGCAGGCACACGCCUUGAAUACAUUAGCAUGGAAUAAUAAGAUAGGACCUCGGUUCUAUUUUGUUGGUUUCUAGAGCUGAGGUAAUGAUUAAUAGGGAUAGUUGGGGGCAUUCGUAUUUAACUGUCAGAGGUGAAAUUCUUGGAUUUGUUAAAGACGGGCUACUGCGAAAGCAUUUGCCAAGGAUGUUUUCAUUGA
rnacentral:rRNA from 1 species